CGUAGGUGACGAGCGUUAUCCGGAAUUACUGGGCGUAAAGCGCACGCAAGCGGUCGAUCAAGUCUGACGUGAAAUCUCUUGGCUUAACUGGGAGCGGUCGUUGGAAACUGAUUGGCUUGAGGCGAUGAGAGGGGUGCAGAAUUCCUGGUGUAGUGGUGGAAUGCGUAGAUAUCAGGAGGAAUACCUGUGGCGAAAGCGGCACCCUGGCGUCGUUCUGACGCUCAUGUGCGAAAGCGUGGGGAGCGAACGGGAUUAGAUACCCCGGUAGUCCACGCCGUAAACGAUGAACACUAGGUGUGGGUGGAGUCAAAUCUAUCCGUGCCAAAGCCAACGCGUUAAGUGUUCCGCCUGGGAAGUACGGCCGCAAGGCUA
rnacentral:rRNA from 1 species